rnacentral:rRNA from 1 species
UGGGGAAUUUUGGACAAUGGACGAAAGUCUGAUCCAGCCAUGCCGCGUGCGGGAAGAAGGCCUUCGGGUUGUAAACCGCUUUUGUCAGGGAAGAAAAGCGCUGGGCUAAUACCCCGGCGUCAUGACGGUACCUGAAGAAUAAGCACCGGCUAACCACGUGCCAGCAGCCGCGGUAAUACGUAGGGUGCAAGCGUUAAUCGGAAUUACUGGGCGUAAAGCGUGCGCAGGCGGCUUUGCAAGACAGAUGUGAAAUCCCCGGGCUCAACCUGGGAACUGCAUUUGUGACUGCAAGGCUAGAGUACGGUAGAGGGGAGUGGAAUUCCGCGUGUAGCAGUGAAAUGCGUAGAUAUGCGGAGGAACACCGAUGGCGAAGGCAGCUCCCUGGACCUGUACUGACGCUCAUGCACGAAAGCGUGGGGAGCAAACAGGAUUAGAUACCCUGGUAGUCCACGCCCUAAACGAUGUCAACUGGUUGUUGGGAGGGUUUCUUCUCAGUAACGUAGCUAACGCGUGAAGUUGACCGCCUGGGGAGUACGGCCGCAAGGUUG